CCCCUUUGCAUUCAUUUGCGCCCGCCCUAUAUAGACCGCGUAGGCCGGUUCGUCCGGUGACUAUGGCGAUAAAGUGCGGCGUGAAAUAGAUGCAGCGGACCCGGGGGCAGUACCCGGCGACUCCACCACAGCCUGUCUUUCAGGCGGGCUUUGAUGGGGUCGAACUAGGAUCGACGUGUAUUGAAAGGCGCUGUUUUUGCCCGGGCUGAGUAACCCGUUCAAGGCUCAAAACCACAAGUGCUAACGAUAACGAAGCACUCGCGAUUGCCGCGUAACUGAAAGCCUAACGGCUUAGGUUACGACGCAUAAACGCGGUUCGGGCCGCACCGGGCAACAGAAGCGGACACC
rfam:Sphingomonas panacis strain DCY99, complete genome.